GAGUUUGAUCAUGGCUCAGAUUGAACGCUGGCGGCAGGCCUAACACAUGCAAGUCGAGCGGAUGAAGGGAGCUUGCUCCUGGAUUCAGCGGCGGACGGGUGAGUAAUGCCUAGGAAUCUGCCUGGUAGUGGGGGAUAACGUCCGGAAACGGGCGCUAAUACCGCAUACGUCCUGAGGGAGAAAGUGGGGGAUCUUCGGACCUCACGCUAUCAGAUGAGCCUAGGUCGGAUUAGCUAGUUGGUGGGUAAAGGCCUACCAAGGCGACGAUCCGUAACUGGUCUGAGAGGAUGAUCAGUCACACUGGAACUGAGACACGGUCCAGACUCCUACGGGAGGCAGCAGUGGGGAAUAUUGGACAAUGGGCGAAAGCCUGAUCCAGCCAUGCCGCGUGUGUGAAGAAGGUCUUCGGAUUGUAAAGCACUUUAAGUUGGGAGGAAGGGCAGUAAGUUAAUACCUUGCUGUUUGUACGUUACCAACAGGAUAAGCACCGGCUAACUUCGUGCCAGCAGCCGACGG
rnacentral:rRNA from 1 species